rnacentral:sRNA from 1 species
UGUCAAGUGGACACACAAAACCAGCCAGUACAACCCUCUUAGUUAUUCCUGGCACAUUUGCUUUUCGGCCAUCUUCUCUGCCAGGACAAGUGAGGUCACCAGGACAGCUCAGGCACCUGUGCCAGCUAGCAGCAUUAGUACUCAAGAAGCAGAAACUGUCCCCAGAGAAGACUUUACAGCCACAGAAGAAGUGAGACAAGAUGAGGCCUUCUGGGGUCACCCCCAGGAGAAUAUGGGGGCAUGACCUGGUGGUCCCAUCUGCAACCUGUUCUAGGAGGUCCCGGAGAUAAUCUCUCAUAGCAACUAGCAGUGACCUCAAAGUCUUUGUUUGAUCAUGUUCCCUGCUGGACCCUGAAGCCCAGAGAAGUGUCCCUGCCACCAGGAAUCCCUGAAGAAAACUAAGACUUAGAUGACUCUAACCAGGAAUGGGAUUUAAAUGAGUCUCAGCACUAGUGGUUUAAUAAUAUACAAUGUAGGUCACGUUGCUUGAAGAGGAGCCUUGAAUCUGCCCCUGAACUACUUGUGUGUUCCCCGUGGUCAUGAGCUAAGCCACUGGCUUCAACAAGCUUUCUCUGCCAUGAAGUGUUCCCUCACCACAGGCCCCACGGCAACACACAACGGCCCAAGACUUCUAAAGCCGCCAAUCAAAAUAAACUUUCGCUGACUCACAGAGAGCCGUGGUGAAUCCUACGACACAGAGAUUCACAGAGAGCGGUUACUGAAGCCUACAGGCAGCGUCUCAGGAGUCAUUCAUUCACUCUCUCUUGCAGUACGCCUAUCCGAUUCUUGCCCCAGGAAAACUGUCCUUUCUCUCCUGCAGCAGGGCAUCCAGAUGGCUACUCGGAUACCUCAGAUUAUGAAAAAGUCUACUCUGGCUUGAGCUUGAUUCUCCCAAAUUCAGAUAUCGCAAACUUAAUCUACAACUCCACCAAUUUGGGAUGUGGGGACUUAGCGGGCAGUAUUUAGGUCAUGGUGGAUUAAUGUGAUAAAAGGCUCUCCAACUCUCGCCUGUCAUGCUUAACGCACGUUCGUGUAGAACCUGGCGCUAAACCAUUCGUAGACGACCUGCUUCUGGGUUGGGGUUUCGUACAUAGCAGAGCAGCUCCCUUGCUGCGAUCUAUUGAAAGUCAGCCCUCGACACAAGGG